rnacentral:rRNA from 2 species
UUUGACCUCAAAUCAGGUAGGAAUACCCGCUGAACUUAAGCAUAUCAAUA